CAAACAAAAGAACCGGCCCACCCGGCCGUCUCCCACCUCCCGAUCCCCACAUAUCCUGCCGCCGCACCCCCACCCCCGGGACCGCCGGUGAACCACCGCCCGGCCCAGCGCGCCUCCCAGGCCCGGCCGCGCGGGACCUCCAGCCGCUGCGGGCCACGCCCACACACCCUGAGCAUCGCCGCAAGAUGCAGGUCUCCCCGAGCGCUGCCGCCUGCUGCAGGUCGCCCCUAGCGCCUCCACGCACGGAUCCGGCCGAAGCCCGUGAGAUCCACCACCUCAUCCCCUUGUCCACCCGCUCCUCCAUCUCUGGGUCCGGCCCAAUCCUCGUCCUCGUCCGCCGGCCAACUCGUCGGCCGCUGCCCCGUCCUGUCUCCACUGGCAUCCUCAUGAGCCAUGGCUCCGUCCUCUCCUCCACUCCACACGCCUCCACCGGGCUCUACCACCAUCCAGCGCACCACCACGUUGGCACAUCUGCGCAUCUCCUCUCCUUCCCGCGGAUGCCACCGACAAGAUCAAGCUCCAGCAUCUGCCUUCUCCCCAUGAUGCCUCCUUCCAUUGGGAUUUUGUAGUCAUAGCAUGGUAACGUCCAGUCUGUUCGCCACCGCCACCCACAAGCCGUUUGACUUCACAUCACUAGGCCGUUCGCUAGUACUCCCUCCGUCCCAAAAUAUAAGAACGUUUCUAACACUAGCAUAGUGUCAAAAACGUUCUUAUAUUCUGGGACAGAGGAAGUAGCUUAUUGCAAAAUCUCUCGCUAAAAUUGAUUGUUGGCCAGCUUUGCCUGAUGCAUCAGUCCUGAUGAGACAUGAAGUACUCCCUUGGUGUUCUUCUGCACCUACCCAAGCCCCCAUGGAUCCCAGUAUCUUGUUCUCUUCUUUUUUUGGAAUUGAAGUUCAGAUAGAACAGAGAAAGAAAACUUCAGCCGCUGCCUGCAACCCGUCUGACGCGGCCGCUCAAACUUCCCCUCGCCGGCGGUCGCGACGUCAAUUGUGGCUGGAUGGAGAUGCAAAAAUGGUGGUCAUCGACAAGGCACAUGGCGCAUGAGGACGGUUGCCCGGACCUGACCUGCAUCCUUUCUGCCUCCAUCCGAACUGUGUCGGCCAUGCGUCCGUCGACUUCGUCUGUCCUUGAGCACCUCUUCCACACAAUCAACCGUGCAUAUAUAGAUACACAUAUACUCGUAUACUUGAAUUUCUUAGCUUCUAAACUCUCUGAAUUUGUGUGCAUGUUUAUUGGUGCAUGACAUUGCAUGGCUCCACCACUCAAUUUGAUAUUUCAGUCAAUGCUUAAACUUGAUACAAAAAGAGCAAGAAAUAGUGACAGAUGAUGUGUGUUUUUCAGGGAUGUGAGCUGAGAAUUUAGAUGUUCCUUUCAUAAUAUUUAGGGCAUCGAUCAAGUUCAGGCUAGUAUAUGGUCGUUAAAAACUAGUAUGAUAUUAUGUAUUUAUGGUUGUAGGAAAGAUGGUUUCUACGUCAAAAGUAUGUGGUAGUUGUGUG